rnacentral:rRNA from 1 species
CCUACGGGAGGCAGCAGUGGGGAAUAUUGCACAAUGGGGGAAACCCUGAUGCAGCGACGCCGCGUGAGUGAAGAAGUAAUUCGUUAUGUAAAGCUCUAUCAGCAGGGAAGCAAAUGACGGUACCUGAGUAAGAAGCCCCGGCUAACUACGUGCCAGCAGCCGCGGUAAUACGUCGGGGGCAGGCGUUAUCCGGAUGUACUGGGUGUAAAGGGAGCGUAGACGGCAGUGCAAGUCUGGAGUGAAAGGCUGGGGCUCAACCCCCGGACUGCUCUGGAAACUGUACGGCUGGAGUGCAGGAGAGGUAAGUGGAAUUCCUAGUGUAGCGGUGAAAUGCGUAGAUAUUAGGAGGAACACCAGUGGCGAAGGCGGCUUACUGGACUGUAACUGACGUUGAGGCUCGAAAGCGUGGGGAGCAAACAGGAUUAGAUACCCCAGUAGUC